rnacentral:rRNA from 1 species
AUUGAACGCUGGCGGCAGGCCUAACACAUGCAAGUCGAGCGGCAGCAGAGUACUCGCUCCUUGUUACAGCUGCGGACGGGCGGGUAGUGCCGGGGAAUAUGCGUAUCUGUUGUGUCUAACGUCCGAAAAUGGGCGCUCAUACCCCAUAAGCCCAGACGGCGAACGGGGGGAAUCUUGGGACCUCAGGCUCUCAGAUGAGCCUAGGUCGGAUUAGCUAGUUGGUGGGGUAAAGGCCUACCAAGGCGACGAUCCGUAACUGGUCUGAGAGGAUGAUCAGUCACACUGGAACUGAGACACGGUCCAGACUCCUACGGGAGGCAGCAGUGGGGAAUAUUGGACAAUGGGCGAAAGCCUGAUCCAGCCAUGCCGCGUGUGUGAAGAAGGUCUUCGGGUUGUAAAGCCCUUUUGUUUGGGAAGAAAAGCAGUAGGUUAAUACCUCGCUGUUCUGACGGUACCAAAAGAAUAAGCACCGGCUAACUUCGUG